UACGUAGGGUGCAAGCGUUGUCCGGAAUUAUUGGGCGUAAAGAGCUCGUAGGCGGUCUGUCACGUCGGCUGUGAAACCAGGCUCAACCCUGGCCUGCAGUCGAUACGCAGACUAGAGUCCGGCAGGAGACUGAAUCUGUGUAGCGUGAAUGCGCAGAUAUCAGAGACACGUGCGAGCGGGGGGGUCUCUGGGGGGGCGAACUACGCUGAUGCGAAAAAAAGCGUGGGGGGGAGCGAACAGAUAGAAAAAAA
rnacentral:rRNA from 1 species